UGGUGAGCAGGUGUUUGUAAUUAUCCAUCAUCUCUGAGGCCUUUCGUUCCUGUGUUGUGAGGGGAAAAACUGAAAAAAUGUCUACUAAAUUUGCAAUAAAUUAAAGAACUGACAGAAAAAAUAUAUGAAAAUACAUAUUUCCUGUUUUGAUCUUUAGUUCUUGCAUAUCGAGUAUUAGAAAGAAGUUGGACUCACACAGGCAGGAUGAAGCCGGCGUGGCAGCUGUAAUGGAGCGCCGUCCCUUCCACCGGAGGCCCCGGGGGGUUCGCCGUCACCCUGCCAUUCUCCAGAGAGGUCCACACCCGCGGGCAUAGCAGCACUGGAAGCCAGAAACACCAAGACUCUGUAGAGUCUCCAGGAGACCUGUUGGUGUUCAGCCUCUGGGAUUGGACGGACUGCAAACCUCAAAGAAAGGCAGCAUCUUAAAAGCUGCUGCUUUCAACAGCUUUCUGCUGGCUUUAAAGGUGCAGCUCUUCUCCACUGUGGACAGAUGAAUGGAGUUUGUUGGCCUCCAGCUCGAAGAGAGUUACGCUGCCCACGUCGCUGAGGUCUCCGAGGUCACCCAGGUGCUCCACAGAGUCGUAUUUCUCCAGGUCAGAGGCGAUGGUCUGCAGGCUGAAGACGGACAUGGAGUCCGACCCGGCUCGCUCCCGCUCCGGCCCAGUUUUCUCCUUGUAUUGAUCCGCCGCAUCAACGGCUGUGUUCAGUUUGUCUUUGCCUAAAGAGUUGUCACUGCUGCAGGCUCCGCCCUCCUCCUGCAUUCUGGUGUCUGCCUCAGCCCCCACAGGGGGGCUCCGCCCAACGCAGAGGGAAGGGAGCUCUCCCUCAGCCGGGUCUGUUCCCCUCUGAGCGUGGAUUUGUUCACUGAUCUGCUCCAGGUUUCGCAGGGCGAUCGAGUAGUGGUUCUUCACUUUGGCGACUUGCUGUUCCAGCUGCAGCACUUUGGUUUUGUGCUCCUGCAGACACAAAAGCAGCCAGCGAGCGGUGUCAAUGGCUGGGAAAAGCUGUUCACAUCGUGCAUCUGUGUGUGCUUUACCUCCAGAAUGUGGUUGAACUGGGCCUUGAGCUCAAAGUAAGGUUUGGACUUCACGAUGAGUCUCUUCAGGGACUUCUGCAGCAUCUGGACUCUAGCCUCGGCUUCCUGACAGGCGUGUGUGACGCGCAUGUGCUCUCGCUCGCUGCGCACACGCUCCUCCUCAGCCUCGUUCACCUGCGGGACACGGGGAAUGAAAGACGAGGUUUAUUCUGUUUCAAGAUAAGGACUUUCUAAGUGCAGAUAUGCUCCCAGACCAUCAGGACUCUCCUAAACAAGCCAACAACAGGAUAAAAGUGGGUUUAGAAAAAAUUCAAUACUCAGCAAACUGUUCUGACACACUGAUAGAACCCAGACUAAGUAAACUACACCAAACAGAUACUGAUAUGACAGAACUGCAGUAGAAAUCCCAAUCAAAUAGUCUAAACUUUUUGAUUUUAAACAUUUCAAUUGUUUUCAACCUGUCUGAGACAACACUCCUAAACUGAUAUAAAUGACUUUGUUCUGUUGCUAAAAAUAUUAAGUCCUUCCAGCUUUCAUACAAUGUUAAUCCACCUGGAAAAAUUAAUCCUAAAAUCUCUAUAACCAUGUAACAACACCCCCAGUGUUACCAUAGUAACAACAUGAAUUCAUAAAAAGAUCCAGAUUAUCAACAGAGAUGCUAGCAGGUUACCUUCAUCUGUUGUACUGCAUCUAAACCAGACGGCCAACAUACCACACUCUCGCAUCUUCUGACUACCUGAUCACACCUAAUCCAGGUAAUAAGAAGUGGGUGGAGCAAGGAAAUGAGGAAAGCAUAUCCUUUGAUCUUUGUUGUUUGGUGUUUCCCACCACUCCUGUGUUUUUCAGAUCAAUCUAAUUGCACUUCAUAUGUAUAAAACUAUGAAACCGGUAAUAGUUUUAUUUCCAGAUGAAGCCCCUUCUCUUCCUUUCUGCAGGACUCAAACAACUGAAAGUUCAAAGGCUGGCUUUCUCUUACAAAAGUUAAAAAAAAUCCAGUCAGUUUGGGAAAUUUGUUUGAGGCACAAACCAGAUGCAGAGAGAGUAAAACACCCAAAAGGGAUGUUUUUCUUGCAAAAAAUAUAAAUGUAUUUAUGUAUCACACCAAGAAAGAUCACCAGCUAAAACUGAUUUUGUGCCAAUAUUAUUGCGCAAAUUUUGAAAAGUUCAUUUUUUUUCUUUACUCACAGUUUCCUUUAAGACCUACUCUAAUAAAAAUAUUAUUUUGGGUGUUUUUAUAAUAUUCUUUUAGCUUUUAUCUCCAACAGAGAACAUGUAUAAAGAAAGUUGAGCUUAAAAUUGCGUUUCUAUUUCUUUAUUCAAAUUGUGGUGAAUCAGGAGACAAAAAAAUGUAAUUUGAAAAGGCUUGUAGCUUUGACGUAAUAACUUCAAUCAGGAGACCACGCUCUUUGCUUCGCUCCAUUCUGAUACACUUGAAGAUUACUAGAUUUUUGUCUUGGUUUCCCUCGUCCGAGCUGGCAUCUGGCUCAAAACUGUAUGGCUGAACAGCUCCACUGUUGUUCGCCACUUUUGUUGCACCACUUUGUGGUUGUAAUCUAGUGGGAGAGAUUGUAAAUAAAGGGAUGAUGGGAACUAAAUGCAGGCCUACUCCCCAGUAACAGUUCCAACCGCAACUCAGAGGCAAAUUACUGAUAACCCCUGCAGAAACUGUCCAAGAAAAUGACACAGGUUUAAUUAUUUUGCUUUAAACAUCAUAAUAAUGAUUAAAAAACCAUAAAGAAUGCUUUGAAAAAAGAUCAAUAGAUGAUUGAAGUGGGACUUUAGAAAGCCUGUAGCUUUCACUGCUGUGUCUCCUAUCUCCCUACAGCAAGCAUGUCCAAAGUCCGGCCCGUGGGUCAAAGGCGGUCCGCAAUCAAAUUCCAACGGCCUACAGGCUUGUUUCAUAAAAUCAAUUAUGCAGCCCCCAGCAUUUUCCAAAAACUGUGCAUGGGAUUUCUUCAUUGGGAUUGGCUAAAUAACGAUUUACGAACGAUGUAUGCUAUCUAUGACAAGCUAACUGGGAAUGAAUGGCGAGGAAAAUUCAUUGUAAAAACAUGUUAAGAUUUAUUUGUUUUCUAUGUGAAGAAAUGAAAAGUAUGCUGUUGCAAUUACAUUUCUAUUAAAAUGCUUAUUUCCAUUUAAUAUUAUUUAAGUAGCUCAAAGAAUGUCAGGAAUGAAUGGUUGUCCGUCACAUUUUUUUACCUCACCCAUUUCUCAUUAGAACACCCCUGGCCAACAGCAUGUUUAAUAAAACUGCAGCUCAUUCA